ACAGAAGCUUUUAACCCCUGUGGUUGAAUUAGGUAAAAGCUGGAAGUGAAAGACCCCCGAAGGGAGACCCCCACUCAGGCACUCAAGUCCCGGGACAGCCGCGAACCCAAGAAGACACUGAGACCA
rnacentral:pre_miRNA from 7 species